rnacentral:tRNA from 1 species
GGGUGAUGGCUCAGCAGUUAAGAGCACUGACUGCUCUUCCAGAGGACCUGGGCUCAAUUCCCAGCACCCA